UUUACGUAGAAAACAAUUAAA
rnacentral:piRNA from 1 species